rnacentral:rRNA from 1 species
UACGGGGGGAGCAAGCGUUGUUCGGAUUUACUGGGCGUAAAGGGCGCGUAGGCGGUCAGCACAAGUCAGUUGUGAAAUCUCCGGGCUUAACUCGGAAGGGUCAACUGAUACUGUGCGACUAGAGUGCGGAAGGGGCAACUGGAAUUCUCGGUGUAGCGGUGGAAUGCGUAGAUAUGCGGAGGAACACCGAUGGCGAAGGCAAUCCCCUGGACCUGUACUGACGCUCAUGCACGAAAGCGUGGGGAGCAAACAGG